rnacentral:tRNA from 1 species
GGUCCCUUAACUCAGUUGGAUAGAGUAACGGUCUUCUAAACCGUAAGUCGAGAGUUCGAAUCUCUCAGGGACUA